rnacentral:lncRNA from 1 species
GUGGUGGCGUUGUGUUCUACAUCCUUGCUGAUCCCUGGCUUCAGGGAAACUGUGGGUGUGUGGGAGUCGGCCGGGAAGUCUGGCUCACACAGAUGUGUGGUGGGAGGCCGAGGUGGCAGUAACCGUCUUCCUGCACCUGCCCUGAGGUCGGGAGCGAGCUUCCCUGAGGGGCAGGUGCCACGGGGAGGCUCGCCGUCGGGGCUCCUUCGAUUCACAGGAAUAGCUCUGCCUUGUGCUGCAGUGACGUCUGCUGUGACAGCUUUGGGACACAGCUGCCGGGCAGGGGGACGUGGCACCGCGCGACCCAGAUCUCCCCGGCGCUGACACAGCUUGUCAGCAGCACCCAGCAGUCACAUCCUCUGGGUCCCGCCCGCCCGCUGGCAGAGGUGCCUCCAGGCAGGGAAGUCCCUAGCUCGUGCACACAUGCCGCCUGAGCUUGGCUCGAAAGUUUGAACUGUGCCCGUGGUGACAAACACCGCGGCUCCCUUUUCGAGGAGAGACCUGCCAGCUACCACGGCGGGACAGCAGCACAUCUGCCGGUCCUCUUGAGGAAGAAGGGUCCCUUGUGUUGUCUGUUCACGUCCAAGUGUCAGAGUCACACAGUCGCCAUCGAGCUCAGGCAGGGACCAGGGCGCCGUGUGCACUGCCGCAUAAAAGGGCUUGGAGCCCGGACUGCGUGCAGCUUCUGGCCUUGCUGAGGUGGUGGGAAGAGUGGGCCUGCGCCAGAGCCUUGGUGCCUGCACCCACCUGCCAUGUGCUGUCCUCACAGAUGCCAGUCAGUGUGGCCCAGCCAGUGACCAAGCACAUUAUGUAGCACUUUGAGGGUGCCUGCAUCAAGGUGGCACUCACCAAGUGGGUUCGGGAGCCCUGAGGAGGAUUUUACAGUUCGACAAGAGACAGCCUGAGUGACACCCCAGAACGAAAAACACACCACACAGUUUAACUUUGGAGCCACUCUCAAGUGUUCCUUAGUAGCACUGAGCACACCUGCACUGUGCAGCUAUCACUACCGUCCACCGUGGUGCUUUUCCAGCCUCCCAAAUGGAAAUUGUCCCCACAAAACACUGCUCCACUGUGGCCCAGCCCCUGCCUGCCAUUCUGCCUGUCCCUGGGCGUGUGCCUGCUCGAGGGCCCUUCUAGAAGUGGAGUCAGCGCAUCUGUCCUCACGGCAGGACCCAGGCCGAGCCUCUUCUGGCAGUGUGUGUCCAUGGCGCACUCUCCACUUCGGGCCUCUUGUGUCCGCCACUCUGAGCACAGGAUUGCUGCAUCAACAGGAGGACGAAGAGCCGGGCCUGGUGGCUCAUGCCUGUAAUCCCAGCACUCGGAAGGCUGAGGCAGGAGGAUUGCUAUGCGUUCGAGACCAGCUUGGGCUACAUAGUGAGUUCCAGGUCAGUCUCAACUACAUAGUGAGACCCUGUCUCAAAAAAUAAAAAAAAAAAAAAAAUACAAAGGCUGGGGAUUUAGCUUAGUGGUUCUGCCACCUGCCUCAAAAACGCAACUUCCUGAAUUCAAUCCCCCGUACAAAAAAAAAAAAAAAAAAACACAAAGGCUGGGGAUUUAGCUUAGUGGUUCUGCCACCUGCCUCAAAAACGCAACUUCCUGAAUUCAAUCCCCCGUACAAAAAAAAAAAAAAAAAAACACAAAGGCUGGGGAUUUAGCUUAGUGGUUCUGCCACCUGCCUCAAAAACGCAACUUCCUGAAUUCAAUCCCCCGUACAAAAAAAAAAAAAAAAAAAAAAAAAAAAGGAAGACACAUUUCGAUCUCUGAGAAAACACCUUCCCCAGACGCUGAACCAGUGUCCCAUACCCGUCAGGAGCCAGUCACAGCCUGCAUAUCAAAGACUAGAUUUGAAGAAGCACAGAACAGAACAAUAUGUGCAAAUUCUGAGAGAAUUAGCAGGCGUCAGGCGCCGUGGCCAAGUGGAACUUGUGUAGGAGUGUGCAGUGGCCUCCUGGACACCCACUCUGCAGCACCUCCUCCCUCCUUGCCAGCCUGUCCUUCCAGGGGUCCUGCCUACGCCCGGGAAGCGCUGCCCCUAGAGUUGGGUGGUGUCUGGAGCGUCCUGCCCUGUGGAUGCUCAGCUGGCUGGGAGCUGCGCUUCCCAGACUCCCAGCCCUGCCACGGGGACUGGACAGGUGGAGACUCAGGGUCGGGAGAGACCGGGCUCUAGCUCCUUCCUGCUGGCCCUCCUGCUGCAGCAGCUCCCAGGGCUACCUGGGACUCUGCCACCCUGCUAGGACCCCUGAGUUCCUGUGACAGAGCUCCUCCCUCUCCAGCGAC